rnacentral:rRNA from 1 species
AUUGAACGCUGGCGGCAGGCUUAACACAUGCAAGUCGAGCGAGCGGCGGACGGGUGAGUAAUGUCUGGGAAACUGCCUGAUGGCGGGGGAUAACUACUGGAAACGGUAGCUAAUACCGCAUACCAUCAGAUGGGCCCAGAUGGGAUUAGCUAGUAGGUGGGGUAAUGGCUCACCGAGGCGCCGGUCCCUAGCUGGUCUGCGAGGAUGACCAGCCACUCUGGAACUGAGACACGGCCCAGACUCCUACGGGAGGCAGCAGUGGGAAAUAUUGCACAAUGGGCGCAAGCCUGAUGCAGCCAUGCCGCGUGUGUGAAGAAGGCCUUCGGGUUGUAAAGCACUUUCAGCGAGGAGGCGUUACUCGCAGAAGAAGCACCGGCUAACUCCGUGCCAGCCGCCGCGGUAAUUC